ensembl:lncRNA
AUAAAAUAUAUUGUAUUUGUCCGUCUGUCCCACACAGAGACAACAACGACCUCGACCAGCAGAAGACCAGAAACCAGAACGAGUGCAGCGUCGACACCGGGGACACACACAGAGAAAGACCCCCACGCUGCUUUGGUGGUUGGAAUAGUCUCCCCCAUCUUCAUCAUCAUCAUCAUCUUCGUUGUGUACUUUGCUUGGAGACGAAGGCUUGAAAGACGAGGUUCUCCCCAAACUCCUGGAAAUGUUUUGUCAGCGUUAUUAAUUCAUAAAAAGGUGAAUGCAGAGAACCACCUCCUCCUCACCAGCAGUUCCUCCCCUGGUUUGUGUGAACAGAACAUCUGGCUGAUGUCACAACACCGAAAGGAAGUGCAGAAAUAUGCAACGUCUAUGAGGAGAUACAGGAAGGACCUGCGAUGACGCCUACAAAUGGAGGAGGACGCUCGGCUGGACCAACAGCUUCAGUCUGCAUGGCAGAUUUCACAGGUCCGUCACAGCUCCCUGAAAACCCGUAUUGUUUUCUGAAGGAACCCAAAGGACCUGCAAACAACACAGACGCCCUCUUUCAGUGCUCCACCUCGAUUAGAGGCGUUUAGACACGGGGGUCACAGGUGAAUAGCGUGAUAACGUUUGCUUUGGACCAGGCAGCAACCUCCGGUUCUUCCCUCACGUGUUGUGAGUUGAUCUGUUUUUGUGUAUUGAAGCGAUUAAUUCUAUAAAAAAAUGAAAAUGUUUUAUAAAGAAACUGGGUUCCACCCUGAAGGCGAAGACACUUCAACACUUUAGUUGACAAAAAUCACAAUUUUUUUGGUGAUAAUAUGUGUUCAAAUAAAAUGUAUUAUUCGCUCCUUAAAUAAUGAUAUUCAGAAUCAAAGAGCCAAAUAUUCAGAUUCAGAACGUAUUCGGUGUGAUGGAUCAGCAGUGAAGCUGUCUGGAGGAAGCUGGUCUGAUGUUGUGGUUUUGGUUUCUUCUGCUUGGAGGACGGUUGAGGUCAUAAAGAGGGAAGCACUUAUUGCUUAAUACUUGAAGUUCCCACGGUCUGAAUUAUACACAAACAUGAUACUAGUAAUACAAGUUAGAGGUUUUCUUCGUGAGUACACUUCUUUGUGAGUAAAUAACAGACGAGACACAUUGUGAGCGAUGCUGCAGCUGCAGCGUGAGCUUUGGUCUAAACUAGAGCAGAGGAGGAGGCCUUCAGGGAACUGAAAGGUUUUUGAGGAAUGAGUCACCGGAGUCGGACGCUAACGUUCUCGAUCCAGAUGCUGACGCUGCACACAUCUGGCCUCUGCGAUGCCAACUGAACCUGCUGAUGGUCUCUGGAUGUUACUCCUUAUUUGUUCCACCAAUACGGCAAAAGUGGGCGUGUCCUCGGUCCCUCAGAUGAUCGUCAUCGUGUGUUUUUCAAGCAUCACAGCGGUUCCCUCCACAAAAAGACUAUUUGGAACAGUCAGCGUGUGUGUGAGUCAAACUGUCGUCUCCGAUUCUUCCAAGAUAAUUGUUGUAAAAACUGCCAUAAUGUUCCCCCUCAGUCAUCAGUCUGUCCUCCUCCACUGAGAGGGACACGCGUUCUGGGUCAUCUGAUGAUCAAGAUGUUUGUGCGUUGAUGUUUGCAGAGCCUGUUUUAGCAUCUUUAUGUUCCUGCUCUGGAGGAAGACAUGUAGCCGUGGUGCAUGUGCUGCAUGUGGUGCAUGUGCUGCAUGUGGUGCAUGUGCUGCAUGUGCUGCAUGACUUGUGUGUCACCUGUUUGCAAACAUUAAAUAUCUGAUUUGGAGGAUUUUACACCGGUGACGAAUGAGAAUUUUCUUCACUAUUGAACUUUGAUGACGUUUGAAGUGUAAAGGAACUCCACCUCGGUCACAUGACUUCACGUUAGCCUAUAAACUGUUGUAAACGGAUUGUUGAAAUGUUUCCCACUUUACUUUUGCUUUUAUUAAUAAAAUGAUUUUGUCUAUUACAAACUUUUAAACAUUUAUUUACGACCAUAGACGUGUUUGUUGCUAGCAAGCGUCUCAUAAAUGACCAGUUAAAGCAUUGUUACGUCAAAGGAUCUAUUAAUGAUGAAAAUACAAAGUGUUGACAGAACAAAUGAGCUUUAGUACGAAAAAAAGAGAAAAAAUAUAGUUAAAAAAUAGAAAUUGAUUUGUUUGAAAGGCAUAAAAAUAAAAAAAUAUAGCUUUAUAAAAUCUCCAUUAAGUUACAUUCACGUUACGCUUUUGGGUUCUUGCGAGUCGUCACUGUGGAGUAUGUGACGUCUACUUCGACCAAUCCUGUUGCUCCUCGGCCGAAGGGGCGGGGCUUGUCUCCAUGCUUCAGACUGGAAUAGUGCAGAGACUCUUCCUGCAGAGACACAAUGAAACGUUGAUCAAUAAUAUACGAUUCUCAAUCCGGACUGUUUGGAUCAAGCAGCGAUUGAAGAUUUAUAUUUAAGUACAGCUGUUUUUGAAAUAUUCAAACUUCACUUGAUUUUGAGAGCAGCUGAGGGAAGGAAGGAGGAGAAGAAGAAGGAAACAAAUAAGGAAAGACGGAAGGAAGGGAGGAGGAUAAGGAAGGAAACACAACAGGAGAAUGAUUUUAUUUAUCUACCAUGUUUAGCCAUUAGUUCAUUUUAAUCUCUUUAUGAAAUGAGAUUUGAUAAUAGUUUGUUGAAUAAAAGAAGAGAUGGUCUUCAUCACUGACCGCUGUGGCCUUCUGACCUCUGACUCUUCUUCUGCAGCAGCAAGCAGCGGUUUCACCUGGAGACAAAGAGAUCUUCUCUGUAACGUGGAUCAGCGCGUGUGUCCUCAGCGCCGUUACGUGGAUUCCAAUAACUGGCUCAGUCGGACUGAAGUCCAAUGAUCCGUUUCAUGUAAACGCUUUUGUCCGACUACGAUCCGACUGACACGCCUGGAUAGCUCCAUCCGAUCCGGUUGGUAGUUCGACUAUCGCGGCACGUGACGGUGGAUCGGAUGAGGAACUGGACUCGAGAUCCCGACGGCGUCUUCUCUCCGUUAUCAAAUCAGCCAAUAGCGCCAUUCGCCUUCGCUGUGCUCCUGUUAGCAUCAUGCAGACAGUAGAGGGACGUAGCUUCACCUCGCUCUCCGCUCGCCAUCUUUCUCCUAAUGUUGUUGUUGUUGUUGGUCGUGGUGAAGCGGUCAAGCGGAAAUGGCUGCAUCACAACUAGUUGUAAUGAAAACAGCGCCACCUAUCGUACCGGAUAUGACGAUAUGCUCUCAGCCAAUGAUUCCAUUUAUUCACUGCCGUGUAUAUUGAGAUAACAGAACCUCCCCCCGAAAGAUUACAAUUACACCAUCAUGUACACACACUGACACACACCUGAGUGCAGGCAGAGGCCAGCGAUGGCGGCGAGGCCGAAGACGAGCACAGCGGGAAGAGCGCAGAUCCCCGGACUCCAACAUGGCCGCCGCGCCGCCCCCCCGGCUCCUGGAGGCACAGAACCACGGGGUCAACGCACGCCUAUUGAUCGCUUCUGGGAGACAACGACCGUCAUUGUGAACCGUUCAGAAAGACAGGAAGCAAAUAUGAUACGUACAUAAUCAGAAUGAAGAGACAUUUAUUCAUUAAAAAACAGUCAAAUGGCCACCUCAUCCAUCUAAAGCCCUCGGAGACUUUCACGCUCAGUGAGUCCCUGAGGGUCAGGGGUCAGGGGUCAAGACCAGCCUCCCCAGCACCUUCAUCACAUGGGAUGUGAGGGCAACUGGUCGAUAGUCACUGAGGCUAGAUGGAGAUGACGUCUUUGGGACGAUGUCUUCCACAGCACGAGACGUCCUCCAGCUUCAAGCUCAGGUCAGGAGACGCUGCAGGACUUUAGACGGCUGGGUGGAGCAGCUCUUCACU